UACGUAGGAUGCAAGCGUUGUCCGGAUUUACUGGGCGUAAAGCGCGCGCAGGCGGCAAGGUAAGUAAGGUGGGAAAUCUGUCGGCUCAACCGGGAGGGUGCACUUUAGACUGCUUUGCUUGAGGUCGGUAGAGGGGGGUGGAAUUGCUGGUGUAGCGGUGAAAUGCGUAGAGAUCAGCAGGAACACCCGUGGCGAAGGCGGCCCCCUGGGCCGUACCUGACGCUGAGGCGCGAAGGCUAGGGGAGCGAACGGG
rnacentral:rRNA from 1 species